GGGAGCGUAGUUUAAUGGUAGAAUGCCGGUCUCCAAAACCGGCGGCGAGGGUUCGAUUCCUUCCGCUCCUG
rnacentral:tRNA from 1 species